rnacentral:rRNA from 1 species
GAUGAACGCUGGCGGCGUGCCUAAUACAUGCAAGUCGAGCGAACAGACGAGGAGCUUGCUCCUCUGACGUUAGCGGCGGACGGGUGAGUAACACGUGGAUAUCCUACCUAUAAGACUGGGAUAACUUCGGGAAACCGGAGCUAAUACCGGAUAAUAUAUUGAACCGCAUGGUUCAAUAGUGAAAGACGGUUUUGCUGUCACUUAUAGAUGGAUCCGCGCCGCAUUAGCUAGUUGGUAAGGUAACGGCUUACCAAGGCGACGAUGCGUAGCCGACCUGAGAGGGUGAUCGGCCACACUGGAACUGAGACACGGUCCAGACUCCUACGGGAGGCAGCAGUAGGGAAUCUUCCGCAAUGGGCGAAAGCCUGACGGAGCAACGCCGCGUGAGUGAUGAAGGUCCUCGGAUCGUAAAACUCUGUUAUUAGGAAAGAACAAAUGUGUAAGUAACUAUGCACGUCUUGACGGUACCUAAUCAGAAAGCCACGGCUAACUACGUG